UCAAGCUGUCUGCCUGUCAGCCUGUCCACUCUGCAGGAUAAUUCUGGGUGAAAGGCACACACACACUUAGAAACUUCUGAGCAGGUCAGCAGUGCAAGCAUCUGCACAGCUGGUACAUGAAGAUUACCCUAGCCUGGAAUUUGUAACCACCAGCCACAUGGGGCUGCUGAGCACUUGAAGUGAAGCGGGAGCACAUUGAAAUCUCUGGUCCUAUCUCCAGACAUAGUCACAUUCUGAGGUUCUGGGACUUAAGACUUUCACACAUGAAUGUAAGGGGACAGAGACACCAAUCAAUCAAAGCAUAUGUACUUGGAAAACCUUUGAAAUCAACGAUGAUGCUAAAUCAAAAAAUUUCACUUGCAACCAAGAGGACCCAAGUUUGAUCCC